ACAGCCACAUCAUUUUGAAACACCGAUUCCUGUACGAUCGCCAGCAUUAAGCAUCAUCAUGCCUGGUCAGUACCUAGAUGGGUGACUGCUUGGGAAUACCAGGUGCUGUAAG